GAUGAAGAACGCAGCGAAAUGCGAUAAGUAAUGCGAAUUGCAGAAUUCAGUGAAUCAUCGAAUCUUUGAACGCACAUUGCGCCCGCCAGUAUUCUGGCGGGCAUGCCUGUUCGAGCGUCAUUUCAACCAUCAAGCCUUCGCUUGUGUUGGGGCCCCGCGGCUGCCGCGGCCCCCUAAAUCCAGUGGCGGGCUCGUCGUCGUACCGAGCGCAGUAGACAUCCUCGCUCCGGGAACCCGACGGGUGCCGGCCGUGAAACCCCCCCCAUCAAGGUUGACCUCGGAUCAGGUAGGAAUACCCGCUGAACUUAAGCAUAUCAAUAAGCGGAGGA
rnacentral:misc_RNA from 1 species